AAGAUUUUAUCUUAAUAAAAGAGUCUGAGUUGCAUUCAGAAGAUGAAAGUUGAUAUCUUUCAGGUCUUA
rnacentral:tRNA from 1 species